rnacentral:rRNA from 1 species
AAUGAACGCUGGCGGCAGGCCUAAAACAUGCAAGUCGAACGCCGUAGCAAUACGGAGUGGCGCACGGGUGAGUAACACGUGGGAAUAUGCCUUUUGGUACGGAACAACUUUUGGAAACGAAAGCUAAUACCGUAUGGUCCCUUCGGGGUAAAGAUUUAUCGCCAAAAGAUUAGCCCGCGCUGGAUUAGCUAGUUGGUGAGGUAAUGGCUCACCAAGGCGACGAUCCAUAGCUGGUCUUAGAGGACGAUCAGCCACACUGGGACUGAGACACGGCCCAGACUCCUACGGGAGGCAGCAGUUAGGAAUAUUGGACAAUGGGCGCAAGCCUGAUCCAGCCAUGCCGCGUGAGUGAUGAAGGCCUUCGGGUUGUAAAGCUCUUUAGCCGAUGAAUAUAAUGACUGUAGUCGGAAAAUAAGCCCCGGCUAACUUCGUGCCAGCCACCGCAGUAAAAC